rnacentral:hammerhead_ribozyme from 1 species
ACUCAGCUGACGAGUCCCAAAUAGGAUGAAAUGCGCGUUCUGGAU